rnacentral:rRNA from 1 species
GACGAACGCUGGCGGCGUGCCUAAUACAUGCAAGUCGAACGAGAGCGACCGGUGCUUGCACUGGUCAAUCUAGUGGCGAACGGGUGAGUAACACGUGGGUAACCUGCCCAUCAGAGGGGGAUAACAUCCGGAAACAGAUGCUAAAACCGCAUAGGUCUUCGAGCCGCAUGGCUUGAAGAGGAAAAGAGGCGCAAGCUUCUGCUGAUGGAUGGACCCGCGGUGCAUUAGCUAGUUGGUGAGGUAACGGCUCACCAAGGCCGUGAUGCAUAGCCGACCUGAGAGGGUGAUCGGCCACAUUGGGACUGAGACACGGCCCAAACUCCUACGGGAGGCAGCAGUAGGGAAUCUUCCGCAAUGGACGCAAGUCUGACGGAGCAACGCCGCGUGAGUGAAGAAGGUUUUCGGAUCGUAAAACUCUGUUGUUAGAGAAGAACAAGUGCUAGAGUAACUGUUAGCGCCUUGACGGUAGCUAACCAGAAAGCCACGGCUAACUACGUG